GCAACCCUUGUCACUAGUUGCCAUCAUUUAGUUGGGCACUCUAGUGAGACUGCCGGUGACAAACCGGAGGAAGGUGGGGAUGACGUCAAGUCCUCAUGGCCCUUAUGGGUAGGGCUUCACACGUCAUACAAUGGUCGGUACAGAGGGUUGCCAAGCCGCGAGGUGGAGCCAAUCCCUUAAAGCCGAUCGUAGUCCGGAUCGUAGUCUGCAACUCGACUUCAUGAAGUUGGAAUCGCUAGUAAUCGCGGAUCAGCAUGCCGCGGUCGAAUACGUUCCCGGGCCUU
rnacentral:rRNA from 1 species